rnacentral:lncRNA from 1 species
AUGAUGAUGAGGCGGAGGAAGGUGAGGAGGAUGAGGAGGAGGCGGAGGAGGAGGAUUAGGAGGAGGAGGAGGAGGAGAAAGAGUCUGUGGAGGAGGAGGAGGAUGAGGAGCAGGAGGAUGAGGAGGAUGAGGAGGAUGAGGAUGAGGAGGAGGAGGAAGGUGAGGAGGAUGAGGAGGAUGAUGAUGAGGCGGAGGAAGGUGAGGAGGAUGAGGAGGAGGAUGAUGAUGAGGAGGAGGAGGAGGAGGCUGCGGAGGCUGCGGAGGCGUCGGGGAGGAGCGGAGCCCCCAGGCGGGCUCGGUCCCCGGGCAGUGCCCGCCGCGCCCACGGGGGGGCGCUCGGCACACGCGCAGCAGGGUCGGCGGCCGCGGUGGGCAGGGCUCCCAGGGCUCGGCUCGGGCUUCCUUUGCGGACCGUUUCCUGGCGGCUCCGGCGAUGCGCCUUCCUGCCGACCCUCUGCCCCGCGGCUCCCGUGUCCUUUCGCUUCGCGUGGACUUCCAGUCCCUUCUGUGCUGUGCUGCCGCCCGCUGCGACCCCCGCCCCGCACGCCCCGCCAGGGCCUCAGCCCCGGAGCCCGCCUCCCACCAGCGCGGUCUGCGGAGCCUCCAGGUGUCCUCGUGGUGGUUGCACAGAAACUGCGGAAGUGUUCUGGGUGGUCCCAUGCACCCCCCACCCCCGCCUCUGUGUUUGAUGUGGGACCCGCUACUGCAGAGCCAGGGAUGCGCUCCUGCUUGUACCCUGUGGGCCGCACUCUUGCCUCUGUUCUUUGCCGUGGACCCCUCUCUUCCUGGGGGCGUUCGAGUUCUCAGAUUCCUUGGAGAGGCGCAUCCGUGUGUCAUUUGUCUUUGGAAGACAUUCACUGUGAUGAAUCUGUGGCUUUAUUCCAGAUGCAGUCCCAUCGUUCUACUGGAUGAUUUUGUUGUCAAACAAGAUAAAAUCUCCCCUAAAAACAUGCUCUUUCUCCUUCUUCAACUCGACUGGGACACUGUUGGUUGGGUUAUUUUCUUCCCACAGCACGCAGUAAUGUUCUGGAUACUGACAACCCAGGUAAAGCUGGUAAGAAUGUCCCACGUGCUUGUCAAAGAAUGCCUCGUCGAGUUCCUUCUGGGAAAGAGGCUUUCUAUCCAGAAUAGAAUAAGGGCUAAAAUAUAAUGGGGAAAAAAACAGGUUGUGGAAACACUGGCUAUGUGUCUGUGAUGGUGCUGGCACAGUGGGGUCACCGCCAGGCUGGCCUCCGGGUGGCCUGUGGUCAGGCACUGUCUACACUGCCGAUUGGCCUACUUGUCCCAGCCUCAUCUGCUGCUGGGUGCCCAGGCCUGUGUCCCCACAGCUCACCGGCUCCCAUGUGCUCGGAGGAGGAGGGCGAUGUGGGCAGGGGGCAGGGCCGGCAUAGGCAGGAAGAUCCAGGACCAUGCCUAUUGGGACAAUUAGGGACACGCAGGCCAUUCCUUUGAAAUUUGGCCAGGUCCUUGGGGAAUAUAAGAUGACGACGUAAAUAUUGAAGGAACGAGAUUUUGCAGGAUGGAGGCCAUGGGCAUUAUGCAAACGCUCCUCCUCCAUCCAUCUCCAAACCCGCAUCGUCCCUCCUUGGGAAAGCAGAAGACACUCAGAAUUUCUAGGUGAAAAGUGCUGGGAUGUUCGAUCACUCUAAAUCAGAAUUUCAAAAAAAAAAUCUUAAAACUGUUUGGCCGUUAUUAUUAUUUUUUAAUAAGAUGAGGUCAGAGGCCUGUGUUAUAAAUCAGCAUAGAAACAGCUUCCUUCCAUGGCAACCGGGAGGGUUUUCUCUUCCCAGAGUCCCGACACGUUGCGCUGUGUCCACCCACCACCCGCCAACCUGUCCCUCCUGUGCGGUCUCAGAGGCCAGUGGGGGAGCGGGGGCCUGGGGUCACAUCUUAUCUCCUCACUCCACCUGUGGACCUAACUUUCUAAGGUCAGGAGUAAGGGAGAUGAUUUCCAGCCAGGUCUUGAGUCUGGAAAUGUGGGUACAGAGCUUCCUCUGCGGGCAGGAUGUCCCUACAUGAGUGAUUUCAAGCAUUUCGUUUUAUUUGUAUUUUUUUUCUCCCAGGUAUUUACUGUUGGCUAAUAGGUUAGAGGCCCUUUCCUUGUCUGUUCAUCCUAUGAACAACCUCUCAGCAGGUGCCCCCUUUCUUUUUCUUUUUUCUUCUCUUCUUCUUUUUUUUUUUUUUUUUUGCCUUAAAGAGUCCAUCAAAACCUUGAAGAUUUUUUUUCCCUCUAAAUAAGCAUGGAGUGAAACAGAAUCAUUAUAAUAGAAAUGUAGAGUUCUUUCUAGAACUAGACUAUUCUUGUGGUCUUAUCAACCUGCCUGUCUUCAAGAGGUCACUCCAUUUUGUGAAAGGGGAGAAAAAUCUUGGUUUUUUAAAAAAGAUUUUAUUUUAGUAUUUUUAAAAAAUUUUAAAUUUUUAAAAAAAGAUUUUAAAUUUUUUAAAAAAGAUUUUAUUUAUUUGAGAGAAUGGGAGAGAGCUCAGAGGGACAGGGAGAGAGAGAGAGAAGCUGAGCAGGGAGCCCAACGUAGGGCUCGAUCCAAGGACCCUGAGAUCAUGACCUGAGCUAAAGGCAGACGUUUCGCCAACUGAGCCACCCGGGUGCCCCCCAAAAUCUGAUUUUUUGAAAAAAGAUUUAUUUAUUUAUUUGAGAGAUAGAAUGAGUGGGAGGGGCAGAGCGAGAGUCCCAAGCAGACUCCAUGCUGAGUGCAGAGCCCGACGUGGGGCUCCGUCCCACAGCCCUGAGGUCGUGACCUGAGCCAAAACUCAGAAUUGGCCACUAACUGACCCCACCACCCAUGGGCCCCAGAAAAUCUGAUUUAGAAGGAUCAUCCUCAAGAACGAUGCACGUGAGGCCCACAGGCAUCCCCUCGGAGGGAGAGACGCGCCAGGGGAGGUGCACUCGAAGCUCCGGAUCUGUCUGCCCCCAGCUUGGUGCCAGGCAGUGACUUGACCUCAGUUUUCCGAGUCUGGAUGAAGGACGAUGGUGUAGGAGUUGGGGGUGAUGUGUGUAGUGUGCUUGGGGCGGUGCUUGGAGUGUAGACACUCGCAUGCUCUUUGCUCUGGGACCCCGUGAGUUGCGGGGGACAUGAGGAUGCGCGGCGGCACCUGCCUGCACGAGGAUUUACGGGGAGACGUCUGAAACCUCUGGAUGUAUAAGCAAGUCUGGGAAAUGUACCAGCGCAUCCUCCGAAAAACGCCUCAUCUUCGUGGUAUUGUCUGACCUUAAGUGGUUUUCCCAGGAGGAGGAGAGCUUGACCACAUUUCCAUCAGGAUAAGGAUCUCAGCAUAAUUUCACAGCGUAUUUCCCUUGCAAUAUUCCGUUUGGUCAUCUGAAAGUUCACGUCUUUUCUUAUCUGAGGAGGUUCAGGUCCGCUUAGGAAAUAGUGCUACAGUGAAGUAAGUGAUUUGGAAGGGAAAUUCCAACCGCUUGGGCUGUGCACGUACAGCGGCCACGAUAAGAAAUAAUUGGUACUCGGUCCUCGUUGCUGUCCUGGCCGACGCACUACCUCGCGACCUUCUAAGAAGGGAGAAACCUUAGAGGUGCCUUCCUCCAAACCUACAUCUUUACAGAUGGGGACAUUGAGGCCCAAAGAGAUCGUGUCACUCCGCUGGGCCGGAGCAGGAUAAAACUCCUAACGGGGGCCCUCCCACCCCAGCGGCAGUCUUGCUUAUCUCCACUCACUACUCGGGGCAGGGGCGACCCGGUCUGGAUCGGGGCGGGAGGUGUGCAGCACACAGCUAGAGGGGAUCGCUCCACACCGACACCACACAGGGUGGCAACCAAGCGUAGGCCCUUUGAGAGCCUGGGUAUUUCUUUGCAACUUUGAAAAUAAGGUGAUUCCAGGGAACCUGGGAGCAUCGCUAAGUACCGAGGAUGCUGUGGAGGUCCCUGGGGAGAUGAUUCAGCGUCCGGCCGCUGCCAAGUCUUCUGUAGAUGAACAAAGCAUCUUUUUUUAUAUUAAUCAUUUCUAAAUGAAGAAAUCAUUUGGGAAUGGGGAGGCGGGCAUGCUAAGGCCAGCUUCCCUUUCAUUCCGGGCAUUACUGGAGAGAAGUAGGUGCAGGAGAAGUCAGCCCCACACCUGAGAAGAGAAACACUCGUGAACACACUGUGCAAGGGGCACCUUCAGCUCAGGUCAUGAUCCCAGCAUCUUGGGAUCGAACCUCAUGUCGGGCAGGUGCUCUGGUCAGUGGGGAGUCAGCUUCUCCCUCUCCCUCUGCUGCUCCACUGCUCAAAUAAAUAAAUCUUAAAAAACAAAACAAAACAAAACAGAACGUCGUGUUUUUGUCAUUAAGGAGACCUAACAGGUGCACGUACAGCCAGAUUCUGCAAAUUCAGGCUACAAUAGGCUACUCGGGUCGAGCACACUGGUGCAAAGACAAAGGGGCGGUCUCAGGUCAUCAGAUGUCACAAGCAGGUGCUGGUACGGAACGAGGUUUUAUACUAAUUAGACCAGAAGCAACGAUAUCCAGACGAAAAGGGCUGGGAAGUCACCCAACGUGAGGCGGUGGUCUGAACGUUCCUUUCGGCAGAGCGAUGAUCAGAAAAAAGAAGGUUCGCCGUGCGGGUCAGGCCGCCAGCCUUCUGGGGCUCACCUUCCUGCCUCAGCCUGGCGGGCACUCGCUCACGGGGGGCGGGUGUCGUUUCCCUAUUUUUUUCUUUUUUUUUUUUCUUUUUUUCGUUUUCCUAUUUACGGCCGUGCGUUUUCAACCUCGGGGAAGGCCCAGACGGAAAAUAAGUCAGACCC